rnacentral:rRNA from 1 species
UACGUAGGGUGCGAGCGUUAAUCGGAAUUACUGGGCGUAAAGCGUGCGCAGGCGGUUCGUUGUGUCGGCGGUGAAAGCCCCGGGCUUAACCUGGGAAUGGCCGUUGAAACUGGCGAACUGGAGUGUGGCAGAGGGGGGUGGAAUUCCACGUGUAGCAGUGAAAUGCGUAGAGAUGUGGAGGAACACCGAUGGCGAAGGCAGCCCCCUGGGCCAACACUGACGCUCAGGCACGAAAGCGUGGGGAGCAAACAGG